GGUUUGACGAGGAAGAAACUGUCUCAACUUAAUUUAUGUAGAAAUUUAUUUUUUAGUUAAAAAGCUAAAAUAUAUUUGAAAGACGAGAAGACCCUGUAGAGUUUAACAGGUUUUUUUUAUUAGAAUUUAGUAGGAUAAUUGGGUUCAGUAAAAUAAAUUUGUUUUGUUGGGGCGAUAGAAAAAUUUAAUAAACUUUUUUUAAUUAAAACAAUAAUUUUUGAUUAU
rnacentral:rRNA from 1 species